CCGUGCAAAGGUAGCACAAUCACUUGUCUCCUAAAUCGAGACCUGUAUGAAUGGCAUCACGAGGAUUCAACUGUCUCCCCUCACCAAUCAGUGAAACUAAUCUCCCUGUGAAAAAGCAGGGCUACUUAUACAAGACGAGAAGACCCUAUGGAGCUUUAAACCACUAACACUUGCUCUACUUCCCAUAACCAUUUAGCAUAGUACUUACACGUUUUCGGUUGGGGCGACCCUGGAGAAAAACCUAACCUCCAUGCUGUUAAAUAUAUGAACCUCAAUUCUACAAUCAACAUAUUGACACAAUUGACCCAAACAUUUGAUCAACGAACCAAGUUACCCUAGGGAUAACAGCGCCAUCCACUUCAAGAGUACAUAUCUACAAGUGGGCUUACGACCUCGAUG
rnacentral:rRNA from 1 species